UACGUAGGGGGCGAGCGUUGUCCGGAAUCAUUGGGCGUAAAGCGCGUGUAGGCGGCUCGAUAAGUCCGGUGUGAAACCUUGGGGCUCAACCCCAAGCCUGCACUGGAUACUGCCGAGCUAGAGUCCGGGAGGGGAGAGCGGAAUUCCUAGUGUAGCGGUGAAAUGCGCAGAUAUCAGGAGGAACACCGGUGGCGAAGGCGGGUCUCUGGGCCGAUACUGACGCUGAGGAGCGAAAGCGUGGGGAGCGAACAGG
rnacentral:rRNA from 1 species